UGGAGAUGUCCUGGAUGUUUUGAGCUUUGGCACAAAUGUUUCAGGAUAGAAAACGAUCUAACCAAGAUGCACGGACAGACUUUCCCAGAGAAGUACUUCUUGAAGCAGUCCAGCUCCUUGCCAAUGUUUUCCUUUACCACGGCAAACAGAGGGACUUCAAGAUCCUGCAGCUGGGACAUCAGAGAGGACAGCUCAGCGGCCUCCUGGAGGGGGACGGACGGGGACAAUCAAAUAGAAUGGACGAAAGUUAACCAUUUAGGUGACCACAGAGUUGGUAUUACUGUGCAUCUGAUUUUCUACCUCUCUGCACAAUAUACAUCCGGGUCGCCGUACAACCAUGACCACAGCUCCAGUCUUGUCCCACAGAGUUUUGGCAGUGUGUCUCUCAUGCACUAAAACGGACAAAGGAGCAUUAUUGAUUCUAAUGUCACACAUGUGGAUUGUGGAACACAAUGUGGAAUUGUGUUAUUUGUUAUUUGACAACGAGGGUUUGAGUCCAAUCCUAUAAAGUUCAGAGAGCUAAAUUAGUUAAUCCAAAAUUAGAAUAUUAAAAUAAAUUGUUCUUCAAAGUUCCCUCUUUGUAAUGUUUCCCCUAGAUAGUGCUUCCUUUUUGAGAUACAAUAGAAUAAUAGCAACACAAAAGCGAAAGUACAGCAUAUCUGAAAGAUUAUAGAUGUAGCUUGUUUCUGUUUUCGGACUCACCCCCUCCAGUGGUCUUCAGCUCUGUUUCCUCCAGCACUUCUAGUUUGGCCCAUCCCGGUUCGGACUGGAACCAGUCUGUGACGGAGCUGAUGAGCUCGGCAACGAACAAGGUCACCGCCUUCAGGACCGAAGUCAGACUCACCAUGAUGCUAAACCCGCUCCACAGGCCACCUACACUGAUAACAUGUAUGUCUGCAGUGGUCAGUGCGUCAUGGCUCUGAGCAAGACCGCCCCCUGCAGGAGGAUUUUCAGAUAAUUGACAAAAAAAUGGCAACUGACAUCUCCCAGGGCCCACGGUGAAAUGUGUGGUGUCCUCCAUCCAUCUGAGCCAAAGAGUUAUCCAGAUUACAGUCACACAGAGGCUGGGUCCUGCUUUGUUUUGUUUGUUUUGUCAGAGGGGUUUGAGGUGAGUGCAGUGUGUGUGUGUGAUGGGGGCCAAUGCACAUUAAGCCAUAUGGGUGUUGUCUUGCUUUUUAAUCACACUUUUGAAAUAAAGCCAAUUGAAGUGAACCCCUUUUCUCGUGCCUGCAUAAUGUGAGUGAAAAGAGUGCGUAGCUAGAGUGGAACUGGGUAAUAUUUCACUCAUUGGUGGCAGGUUCUCAGAGGAAUGUGCUGAGGGUAAAAAAAAAAAGGGCUGGAAUAGAAGCGGCAUUGGAUGACACUCCACAAGCCCAGCUGCUGCACUCCCUCUGCCUGCCUAUAUGAUGGGUUGUGUGUGUGUGAGAGAUAGAGUAUGUCUGGUCACGUGAGCAACCAUGGAUGACCACUAGAUUAUUUUAUUAUUUAUUCUAUAAGACUGCUCAAUGUAGUGUGAAAACAUUUCCUACAUGACAGCUAGGCAAAUUGCAGUAAGGUGCUAUCUAUGCUUGGUCUGAUCAGACUGCUUUGCUAUUCCCACACACAUGCAAACAUACAGAGGAAGACAGAACACUCGGGUCUGCUCUGGAGGGGAGUGUGCAGGACCAACAGCCAAUCACAGCUGGAGAUUUGAACACCACCUCAUUUUGUGUGUUGUCGCAUUGGUCGACUCAUUAAAAAAGUAAAGCCAAUCAGGGCAAAUUGGGCAGUAGUAAGGGACGGACAGGGAGACUGAUGGUCUGCUUUGAGAAUCUGCUUUGGCCUCUAUCCAAUUCUAAUACUUUGAGAGACCCCGAAUGAUAAGAUUGAAGAUCAUUGAAUGGCAAAAUUACACAUAGAUAAGUCUGUAAAAAACGAUUUUAGAUCAAAACAAAAGAUCCACACAAACAGAAAGCACAAUAUAAAGACAACAUGACAAUGACCCUUACCCUUAAUAAAUCUGUCAUGCAUUAAUAUGUAAUUCCUUAUGUAAGUUGUACACACGCCACAAUCUCCCAAUGUUCAAUGAAGGUUCGUGCUGCGAUUGCCAUCCAGAUGGAACUGGUUAGUAACUGGACGAGUUCAGAGCUCCUGAGGCAAACUGUGACCUUCUAGCUUGUGAAAGACAAACAGCUGUUAGCAUCCACCCGACUCUGCCGGGGUUCAUUUAUCUCGUCCUGUUCUGGCAGGUUUGAGUUUGAGUAAUUCUUAGAAAUCAAAACCCCUGCAUUUAAAUUAGAAUCCAAAGGGGGCCGCAAUAUGAAAUACACAUUUCUUGUAGCCAAUCACAAUGCAGGAGGGGUCGCUGUCGCUGUGCUUCUUAAUGUGUAAUGUCAGACACUGUAGUGAAAUCAUUUCAGUGAUUGUGUUUGAUUUGAUGUAGAUUUGCUCCGUGGAGUUAUAGAAUGAUUUAACACUUCAUAUGACUGCAGUGGAAUGAAAUAUGACCUAAUAUGACAAAGACUGCAGUAAUUAAAGCACUUGGAAGUUUCUGUUUAACUCUUUAGUGUAUAAAAGAAAAGUCAGUAAGUUACAAUUUGAGGGUCCCAUUAUUAUCUACGUAUUUGUUUCCUAACUCUCCAGAACAUAUCCACUCUCUUCCUGCUGAAAUGUUAUUGAAGCUCUGAUAGCAGUUAUCUUUCACCGUAAGCAGAACAAUCUCGUUAGAGUUUUCCUAGUCAGUGAUUAACAAAUGUUUCCAGGCAAUCUACGCAAACUAAGAGAGGAGUCAGUGUCACUGGGCACCAAGUAACAACUGUGGUGUAAUGAGUUUUUUUCAAUCUCACACACAUGGACUGUAGUCAGGCCAAAAUAAACAAGAGGUGUAUCCCCCAGAGGUGUCGCACUGUCCCGUCAGACGGGUUCAUGUGUUCCUCAGUUCAUGUUUGUCACAUUUAGAUGUCCCUGACCUCUGUCCUCUUGUAAACCACAAGCAGUUUUUUUUUUAAAUAUUUAGGGUAGGGUAAAUAUGUAGAAGAUGCUAAAUAAUAAUUUGUAAUAACAAACAAAUGGAGCAGAAAAGCUUAACUAGGUCCAUGUAUCUCUCAAAUAAAAAUGAUUCAAUUACCUGCCUUCCCGUAACUAGCUUUCUUUCUAAAUUAGUAUGUUGGGGUUUCUGCCCAUAUGAGUUCCUCACUAAAUGUGAUUGUUCAGUAGGAAAAGAAUAAUGGAUAGAGCCCAUCCGCACCUUUUAUUUUGGCCACACUUAGCAUGCAGGUACUGGUCAGUACUGGGUUUCAUUUGAUUCUGCUGGCCUGCGGUAAGAUUAGGUAGCAUUUACUCAUUAUGUUAGCACAGCUGUUUCAAAUGCAUCAUUCCUCUUACCAACACAAACACACCAUACAUGUAAUGUAUGUAAAACUAUAAUGUGUUUACUGCAUUUUUUUGACGUGUUUGUAAAAUUCUAAUGGAAAAAUUAAUUCAAUUACCUCUUUGGUUAAUGAAGAUUGUGCUUUUUGCUUCUAUGGUGAAAUCUGCUUUAAAUGAGGCCUAACAGGAAGGAAGAGUGGUAUUGUAUUCACUACUGAGAUCUCGUUAACAUCCCUGUCUCAAUUCAUGAAGCCAACUCAUCACUAGCUGAAAUUAGAGCAAGAUGAGAGAGAAUGGAAGAUGAAGUGUUUCUUACUGACAUGAAGAGAACUCACUGUCUGUAGAGCUGUUAUGCCGAAUGGAAAGGUGCAGGGUCUGUGUGUGGUUUACAGGCCCCUUGUUUCUCCAAGUGCAGUGUUGUUUCUGCACUCAUGUGUUUGAGCGUCAAUUCUACUGAAUCACAGGUAAAGACAGUCACCUUAUAGGAUUUCGAAGAGGCACAUCUUUGAAUUAUCGGCAAUGAUGGAAAGUAACUAUUUACAUGGUACUGUACUGAAGAAUAAAUUUAACAUUGCUAAUUGUGCUACUUUCACUACAGUUUAGAGGGAAAUAUCAUUAUUAUUAUUAUUAUAAUAAACAAAGAAACUAUAAUUUCAAACGUAGGACUGUCUUCUCUCUCAUCUCAAAUCUCAAUAUGACACAUCCUUGAGACUUCGUUCAGUAUUUGUAUAAUUUAAGUACAUCAAUGUACAAAUGUACUUGAAAUACUCCUCGCAAUAAUCUUCUCAAGUGCAGUGCUUAAAACAUAUUUAAAUUAUUAAACCAUUAAGAAAUAGUUGUAAAUUAAUCUGUUGAUCUAUUUGUUGAAGUAAUUUAUUUGAUGUUU